CGGACGGGUGAGUAAUGUCUGGGAAACUGCCUGAUGGAGGGGGAUAACUACUGGAAACGGUAGCUAAUACCGCAUAACGUCGCAAGACCAAAGAGGGGGACCUUAGGGCCUCUUGCCAUCGGAUGUGCCCAGAUGGGAUUAGCUAGUAGGUGGGGUAACGGCUCACCUAGGCGACGAUCCCUAGCUGGUCUGAGAGGAUGACCAGCCACACUGGAACUGAGGCACGGUCCAG
rnacentral:rRNA from 1 species